rnacentral:rRNA from 1 species
CGGGACACGUGGUAUCCUGUCUGAAUAUGGGGGGACCAUCCUCCAAGGCUAAAUACUCCUGACUGACCGAUAGUGAACCAGUACCGUGAGGGAAAGGCGAAAAGAACCCCGGCGAGGGGAGUGAAAAAGAACCUGAAACCGUGUACGUACAAGCAGUGGGAGCACGCUUAGGCGUGUGACUGCGUACCUUUUGUAUAAUGGGUCAGCGACUUAUAUUCUGUAGCAAGGUUAACCGAAUAGGGGAGCCGAAGGGAAACCGAGUCUUAACUGGGCGUUAAGUUGCAGGGUAUAGACCCGAAACCCGGUGAUCUAGCCAUGGGCAGGUUGAAGGUUGGGUAACACUAACUGGAGGACCGAACCGACUAAUGUUGAAAAAUUAGCGGAUGACUUGUGGCUGGGGGUGAAAGGCCAAUCAAACCGGGAGAUAGCUGGUUCUCCCCGAAAGCUAUUUAGGUAGCGCCUCGUGAAUUCAUCUCCGGGGGUAGAGCACUGUUUCGGCAAGGGGGUCAUCCCGACUUACCAACCCGAUGCAAACUGCGAAUACCGGAGAAUGUUAUCACGGGAGACACACGGCGGGUGCUAACGUCCGUCGUGAAGAGGGAAACAACCCAGACCGCCAGCUAAGGUCCCAAAGUCAUGGUUAAGUGGGAAACGAUGUGGGAAGGCCCAGACAGCCAGGAUGUUGGCUUAGAAGCAGCCAUCAUUUAAAGAAAGCGUAAUAGCUCACUGGUCGAGUCGGCCUGCGCGGAAGAUGUAACGGGGCUAAACCAUGCACCGAAGCUGCGGCAGCGACGCUGAUGCGUUGUUGGGUAGGGGAGCGUUCUGUAAGCCUGUGAAGGUGUGCUGUGAGGCAUGCUGGAGGUAUCAGAAGUGCGAAUGCUGACAUAAGUAACGAUAAAGCGGGUGAAAAGCCCGCUCGCCGGAAGACCAAGGGUUCCUGUCCAACGUUAAUCGGGGCAGGGUGAGUCGACCCCUAAGGCGAGGCCGAAAGGCGUAGUCGAUGGGAAACAGGUUAAUAUUCCUGUACUUGGUGUUACUGCGAAGGGGGGACGGAGAAGGCUAUGUUGGCCGGGCGACGGUUGUCCCGGUUUAAGCGUGUAGGCUGGUUUUCCAGGCAAAUCCGGAAAAUCAAGGCUGAGGCGUGAUGACGAGGCACUACGGUGCUGAAGCAACAAAUGCCCUGCUUCCAGGAAAAGCCUCUAAGCAUCAGGUAACAUCAAAUCGUACCCCAAACCGACACAGGUGGUCAGGUAGAGAAUACCAAGGCGCUUGAGAGAACUCGGGUGAAGGAACUAGGCAAAAUGGUGCCGUAACUUCGGGAGAAGGCACGCUGAUAUGUAGGUGAAGUCCCUCGCGGAUGGAGCUGAAAUCAGUCGAAGAUACCAGCUGGCUGCAACUGUUUAUUAAAAACACAGCACUGUGCAAACACGAAAGUGGACGUAUACGGUGUGACGCCUGCCCGGUGCCGGAAGGUUAAUUGAUGGGGUCAGCGCAAGCGAAGCUCUUGAUCGAAGCCCCGGUAAACGGCGGCCGUAACUAUAACGGUCCUAAGGUAGCGAAAUUCCUUGUCGGGUAAGUUCCGACCUGCACGAAUGGCGUAAUGAUGGCCAGGCUGUCUCCACCCGAGACUCAGUGAAAUUGAACUCGCUGUGAAGAUGCAGUGUACCCGCGGCAAGACGGAAAGACCCCGUGAACCUUUACUAUAGCUUGACACUGAACAUUGAGCCUUGAUGUGUAGGAUAGGUGGGAGGCUUUGAAGUGUGGACGCCAGUCUGCAUGGAGCCGGCCUUGAAAUACCACCCUUUAAUGUUUGAUGUUCUAACGUUGACCCGUGAUCCGGGUUGCGGACAGUGUCUGGUGGGUAGUUUGACUGGGGCGGUCUCCUCCUAAAGAGUAACGGAGGAGCACGAAGGUUGGCUAAUCCUGGUCGGACAUCAGGAGGUUAGUGCAAUGGCAUAAGCCAGCUUGACUGCGAGCGUGACGGCGCGAGCAGGUGCGAAAGCAGGUCAUAGUGAUCCGGUGGUUCUGAAUGGAAGGGCCAUCGCUCAACGGAUAAAAGGUACUCCGGGGAUAACAGGCUGAUACCGCCCAAGAGUUCAUAUCGACGGCGGUGUUUGGCACCUCGAUGUCGGCUCAUCACAUCCUGGGGCUGAAGUAGGUCCCAAGGGUAUGGCUGUUCGCCAUUUAAAGUGGUACGCGAGCUGGGUUUAGAACGUCGUGAGACAGUUCGGUCCCUAUCUGCCGUGGGCGCUGGAGAACUGAGGGGGGCUGCUCCUAGUACGAGAGGACCGGAGUGGACGCAUCACUGGUGUUCGGGUUGUCAUGCCAAUGGCACUGCCCGGUAGCUAAAUGCGGAAGAGAUAAGUGCUGAAAGCAUCUAAGCACGAAACUUGCCCCGAGAUGAGUUCUCCCUGACUCCUUGAGAGUCCUGAAGGAACGUUGAAGACGACGACGUUGAUAGGCCGGGUGUGUAAGCGCAGCGAUGCGUUGAGCUAACCGGUACUAAUGAACCGUGAGGCUUAACCUUACAACGCCGAAGCUGUU